CACGUAGGGAGCAAGCGUUAAUCGGAAUUACUGGGCGUAAAGCGUACGCAGGCGGCUUUGCAAGACAGGUGUGAAAUCCCCGGGCCUAACCUGGGAACUGCAUUUGUGACUGCAUGGCUAGAGUCUGUCAGAGGGGGGUGGAAUUCCACGUGUAGCAGUGAAAUGCGUAGAGAUGUGGAAGAACACCGAUGGCGAAGGCAGCCCCCUGGGAUGAGACUGACGCUCAUGUACGAAAGCGUGGGGAGCAAACAGG
rnacentral:rRNA from 1 species